UGGGGAAUAUUGCACAAUGGGGGAAACCCUGAUGCAGCGACGCCGCGUGAGUGAAGAAGUAUUUCGGUAUGUAAAGCUCUAUCAGCAGGGAAGAUAAUGACAGUACCUGACUAAGAAGCCCCGGCUAACUACGUGCCAGCAGCCGCGGUAAUACGUAGGGGGCAAGCGUUAUCCGGAUUUACUGGGUGUAAAGGGAGCGUAGACGGAAUGGCAAGUCUGAAGUGAAAACCCCGGGCUCAACCUGGGGACUGCUUUGGAAACUGUUGUUCUAGAGUGUUGGAGAGGUAAGUGGAAUUCCUGGUGUAGCGGUGAAAUGCGUAGAUAUCAGGAAGAACACCGGAGGCGAAGGCGGCUUACUGGACAAUAACUGACGUUGAGGCUCGAAAGCGUGGGGAUCAAACAGGAUUAGAUACCCUGGUAGUCCACGCUGUAAACGAUGAAUACUAGGUGUCGGGGAGCAAAGCUUCUCGGUGCCGUCGCUAACGCAAUAAGUAUUCCACCUGGGGAGUACGUUCGCAAGAAUG
rnacentral:rRNA from 1 species